AUUGAACGCUGGCGGCAGGCUUAACACAUGCAAGUCGAGCGGGGACUUCGGUCCUAGCGGCGAACGGGUGAGGAAUGCUUGGGAAUCUGCCCAGUAGUGGGGGAUAACGUUUCGAAAGGAACGCUAAUACCGCAUACGUCCUACGGGAGAAAGGGGGGGAUCUUCGGACCUCUCGCUAUUGGAUGAGCCCAAGUCGGAUUAGCUAGUUGGUGAGGUAAAGGCUCACCAAGGCGACGAUCCGUAGCUGGUCUGAGAGGAUGAUCAGCCACACUGGAACUGAGACACGGUCCAGACUCCUACGGGAGGCAGCAGUGGGGAAUAUUGGACAAUGGGCGAAAGCCUGAUCCAGCCAUGCCGCGUGUGUGAAGAAGGCCUUCGGGUUGUAAAGCACUUUAAGCGAGGAGGAAUGGAUCUGGGAUAAUACCCUUGAGCAGUGACGUUACUCGCAGAAUAAGCAUCGGCUAACUCUGUGCCAGCCGCCGCAGUAACAC
rnacentral:rRNA from 1 species